UAUCAAGUUAACGUUACAAAUCAAAUCCUGAUUGAAAUUAUGUAAUUUAUUCAUCAAUUGUUAAUGAAUUAGUUCAAUAUUAUAUAAUUUGUUCAAUGAAUGCCUUGAAUUAGUUCAUUUUGUUGAAUUGUGAUUUUCGCUUGAAACAUGCCAAGAAGAAUUAGAAAAUUCCUCAAUAGUGCAUACAGCUUUUUUGAAAGUUUGACUUGAAAAAUCUGAUGAUAACGAACCUGCAAUAAUUCGAGCUAUAUACCAACAGUGAUCUCUUAUUACAGAAAAGGCAGCUCUUUCAGUUGCUUAAACGGAAAAAAAAAAAAUUGUCAAUCAUGACAAAUAUGACAAAUCCGGUUCAUUCGUUAAAAGUAUUCGUUGGCAAAGUGUUUAAGAGUAAACUGAUAAUAAAUUUCAGUAAAUAUAAUGUAGAUUACAAUAACAAGAGCGCAUAAGACAUGUUUGCAAGAAGCGGUGUUUAAAAGACGACGGAGAAGUUUUAUAGCAAUAGAUAUAAGAUGAAUAGAUAGCAAGAGAUACCAGCAACUAAAAUAAUGAAGGAAAUAACGCAUAGCAGCCACAAAAAUAAUGUGGUGAAAAGAUAACGGUUAAAAGAACGUAGACACAUAAAGCUUGUUAAAGAUAACAAGAUAUGCGUUUAUAAUCUGAAGAUUAUUUAAGUUCCGAGAAUAGAAAUAUCACAACUCUAGUUCACAUGUAAAAAAAUGUUUGUCGUCUAAAGAGACGAAUCUUUUCUUCUUCGGUCAUAAGAUCUGGGUAGGGGGAUAAGGAGUGAAACGUAGAGAAUCGAGGCCAGAAAGAGAUGACAAUGUGAACAAUAACUAUCAAGUUUAGGAAAUUAUUGCUUUGAUAUCUGAAAGCCUGGCGUUAAUCAUGAACAAAACUUGAUGGAGGUAUAUUAUAAUAUAUUAUACUAAUUACACCAGACGAACCCCACAUCACCAAACUUCUUCCACUAAACAGCACAGACAAACACACGCAUACAAACCAAUGCAUGUACAUAACAUUUAUAGAUGCUGAAACGGGGUUAUCAGAUAUAAAACUCUGUAUUGAAGGAAAGAUACUCAAUUACUGAGGCCUUUUACUGCUGGGAUGCAAAUCGGGAUAUGAUCAACCGUAGCUGGGUCAAAUGGACGAGAGUUUCAUAUUGAACAACGUGACAUUAUAUAAUGGCCUCAGGAACAUCAGUGUGAAUGUAUCGCAGAAUAUCCGAGUUAUAGUCAAUCAGUGCCAAUCGGAAACUAAACUAGAAGACAAGAAAGAAUAGUUUACCGAAUACUGGAAGAUAAUUUAAAAUCACGGAAAGACGGCAGAAAAUGUGAGUAAACCCAGCAUCCUGCUGUGUGAAAUUUGUUCUUCUUCUAAGAUGUUGACUAGGGGAUGUCAAGAGAAAGAAUAGAAUGAGAUGCCCAAAUGGAAGAUAUUAAGGAAUAAUGCCCAAGGAAAUAAUGGUCUCAAAUUAUAUUGGGAGUGAGAUGUCGAAAUCAUCGAUUCCUGUUCAAAGUCAAAGUUGUCCUCGGAGGUAUUAGAGCUCAAAACGUAAAGAUUCGGAAGAAAGUUCGCUGGGCAUUUUAUCCAAAGCACUAAUAGUUCUACUACAUCGCCGCCUUUACUAGGCUCAUGAAAAUAACUCUGUCUAAUUUUGGCACAAAAGCCAGCAAUUUUAAGGGGAUGGAGCUAAUCGAUUACGUAGAUCGGAGCACCUUUCCUUUCUACUAUAUGCAAGAUGGGGUACGCCGAUUAUUUUGAACCCAGUGCUAGAUUGAUACUUAUUUUAUCGAUUCCAAAAGGAUGGAAGUCAAACUCGACCUUGUUAGCAUUUGGACUCGGGGUGUAAUGACGGACGAAAUGCCGCUACGUUUUUUAUCCGGUGUACUAACGAUUCUCCCAGCUCGCCGUCUAUAGCCCAAUGAAAAUAAUGAAGCGACAAUGAAGGCAAAAUGUGUUUUCAGCAAAAUAAUGUAAGACGUUAGUGAGCUAACCGUCCAUCAGACACAUAAUUAUUAUAACAGAAAACUCAGAGAGAAGGUGAAAGAAAUAUUGGAAGACAAGAUAUGUUCAUCUUAUUAGAAAAUGACCUUUUGUGUGAGGAAGGAAACGAACUUUUUGCAUUCAAGUGGACAAGGUUUUUAGCUGGAAGGCCAGAUGGUGUUUUUGAUUUUCUCCAGUAAAAAUUAUAAUUACAGUUCAAGAAAAAAUAAACAGCAUAGAUACAGAACAUCGAUGGAAAUAAAUUACCUGGAUAAUACAAUACACACAAAUCAUAGUACAGCAGACUGUUAGAAGUGAGCCUUUUUGGACAAAUUGUGUACUUUGCUUCCAGGAUGUCACUCAAGAGCAUCCACUAAAAGUCCCCCAUCAUGCUGGGUUCCGCUUAUCUUAGUAGUUACUCCCCAUCUUAGUAAUAUCUUGGCGGAACCUAUCUCCAUGCUCAUCACUCACUGCUCCGAGCUUCAGAGGGAAGAAGUUGAGGUGGAAGUGGAGAAAGUGAGUUUUGAUUCGGCAUCCCAUAUCCUCAUAAGACUGUAAGAACGAUAAUCUAGUACCCGUGUCUUAUCAAGGAAGCCAUGGCAGAAUGACUUAAAUGCUUCACAUUCUUUCAGUUCCUUUAAAGUCCUUAUCCUUCAGCACAUCUCGGAUCUGACGUCAGAUGAAGAUUCUCUCUUUGAGCUUAGCAGAACUGAGAGCUGGGAACAGGGUGCACAAGUGUUGGAAGGCAGCGCCAUUUUUGUCCAUGGCCUUCACGAAAUGUUUCAGUAAACCAAGUUUGAUAUGAAGAGAAGGAAGAAGCCCCUUGUUCAUGUCCACUUGAGGAUUUUCUUGGACACUGUGUUCAUCAGGAAGAAGAUCCUUAUUUGCUGGGGGUCUCUAAAGACAGAAACAUCAUCUGAUUGACAAACGGGUCUCAUAGCUGAAGAAAUUUAGGAUAUUUGAUCUUUGUUCUAGAAGAUGCAUUGAAACCUGUUAUAUUUGUUAGACAAAAAUAACGACCAGUUGCAUGGCUGCGUAGCUCUCUCCAGAUCAUCGAGACAGCAAAGUUGAAGGCAAUCUUAAACCAUGUUAAAAUCAGCAAAGUUAAACCAUGCAAUUAGUCCAUUGUAGCAGGGUUUACAACAGAUGUGUGGAGCCAAGAAUUUCUCCUGAUCUCCAAUUUUACAUUCAAAAUAAUAAAAGUAAGUAGUUCUCAGGAUGGACGUAAUUGUUCGGCGCGGUGCAACUGUCGUGAAAUCUCCACACAUGUAGCAGAAUGAAUUUGCCUCGUUGAUGCAUCCUCGGUGUUUUGAAGUGCCUGAAGCCAUUGUAGAGACAUGUAUCAUAUGUAUCACAAAAAUCUGGAAAACAAAAUAAAAAUUGAUCAUAAAGCUAGGGGCGAUGAGUGAAAACUGGUUUUGUAUCUGAAAUCAGCACUCCAAAAUUAAGCUAGAACAACUAUUUUUUUGUUUGCCUCGAUGUCUCUGUACACCAGUAUAAUCUGAAACUUCAAGAAUUCAAAUCGUUAUGCAUCUAAUAUUCCCUUUUGUCUGUUUGUCUCUUUUCUUUCCCUUCGUUCCGUAUAUAACCAUAAAACACUGAAUGUAUAUUUAGUAAAACGAAUGAGGUAUACAAUCAUUGGGUUCAUUAUAUUCUUUGCCACAAUAUGUGGCAACUGCCAUCACGCAAUAUGUGAGACUCCUGGUUAUUUUGUUAAACAAAGAUUAAUAUAUAGGGAAAUCGGUGAAACAAUGAAUAUUACCCUUAAGUUAAAACAUUGGAGUAAAAAGGAUUUCUUCUAAAAGUACAAGAGAACUCUAAAGUAUACAUCUAAAAGAACGAAAAUAUAAAUAAUGAGACAAAACUGUAACACCAAAGACAGGAUAAGCUAAAAAGAAUGCUGAACGCUAUGAUAUAAAGGUGUAUGAUGAGAUAACAGGCAACUGCCAUUAGAACAAUCUAGCAAUUAGAUAUAGAUAAAUAUAUAUAUAGAAACAAACUUACGAUAGAGAAUUUAAUAAUUGUAAAACUAAAAUGCAUGGGAAUAGGAGACAGAAAUAUCAGGAAUAAUACUAUUGGAACAUGGAACAGAUAUUGAUAUUAUUACAAUAUUACAUGGGGACUAAUAUAACAACAUGAACUACAUAGUAGAAAAUUCUUCUUAAAAGUAAUAACGUAUAGAUUGAUGACGCCCAAAUCAUAUUAAAUACGAUAAGGUUUAAAGUUAUAA